rnacentral:rRNA from 1 species
CAGCAGCCGCGGUAAUACGAAGGGGGCUAGCGUUGUUCGGAUUUACUGGGCGUAAAGGGCGCGUAGGCGGACUGAUAAGUCAGGGGUGAAAUCCCAAGGCUCAACCUUGGAACUGCCUUUGAUACUGUUUGUCUUGAGUUCGAGAGAGGUAAGUGGAACUGCGAGUGUAGAGGUGAAAUUCGUAGAUAUUCGCAAGAACACCAGUGGCGAAGGCGGCUUACUGGCUCGAAACUGACGCUGAGGCGCGAAAGCGUGGGGAGCAAACAGGAUUAGAUACCCCGGUAGUCCCUGUCUCUUAUAC